GACGAACGCUGGCGGCGUGCUUAACACAUGCAAGUCGAGCGGUAAGGCCCUUUCGGGGGUACACGAGCGGCGAACGGGUGAGUAACACGUGGGUGACCUGCCCUCAGCUCUGGGAUAAGCCCGGGAAACUGGGUCUAAUACCGGAUAUGACUUCAUGACGCAUGUUGUGGAGUGGAAAGCCUUGUGCGGCUGAGGAUGGGCCCGCGGCCUAUCAGCUUGUUGGUGGGGUGANGGCCUACCAAGGCGACGACGGGUAGCCGGCCUGAGAGGGCGACCGGCCACACUGGGACUGAGAUACGGGCCCAGACUCCUACGGGAGGCAGCAGUGGGGAAUCUUGCGCAAUGGGCGAAAGCCCUGACGCAGCGACGCCGCGUGAGGGAUGACGG
rnacentral:rRNA from 1 species